GCGGUUGAACCAGUUUAGCCCUCUCGCGCCAAUUGCAUUGGAAUCCUCGGUCGCAGUCAGCCACAUGGUCCAUCGAGGUGAGGUCCAUCUUUCGACUAAUUUCAAUACAAAUCCCAGCUCAAGCCGCACCCGAUUUGCCUGACCAAAUUGUUAAAGGUUAUUCCCCCAGGGUCUUUGGUAGGCCUACAACAAAAGUGUAACAAGAGAGUAUGGAAAUGGAGGCCAAUGAGUUUGCUACGAUGUGCGAUGACCUGAAACACAUAGCAGCAACAGGUGCAGUGGCCACUCCCUCGGCCACGGCAUCCAGGAAGAAAAGAGGAAAAACACAUUGUUGUGUGAUGAGGUGGAGUCAACUGAAACAAAUAAAAGCUCACCUCACUCCUCCGUCGAAGCAACAACCUGUUCAACACGUAACACCACACAGAUCCAUUACCUUGUUGCGCCAAAGAGCAACAGCAGACAAGCCAUGAACUUUCAGAUCGCGCUAGGAGUUUUCUGCCUUAUUGGAAAAGCCUGCUUGUGAGAAAUAUGAUUUGCCUGCAUGUGAGAGAAGCUAUGUGCCGGUGUGCGCAACUGACGGCCAUACAUACCCAAAUGAGUGUGCGCUUUGUUAUGCCAUCAGCACAAACGCCACCUCGGCUUUAAUCCAAAGCAGAGGAGAAUGUCCAAACUGAAUGAUAGUCCAAUUAUUUGGACCUGUGAUGCUACUAUAUGGCGAGGGUUGAUUUAAUAUACUCAAUGAUCAUUUGUUGUGAGGGAAAUGGUUUGCAGUGAUUUAAAUGGUUACUCAAGGUGAUAUUAACAAUAUCAACAAAAUAAUUGUUAUGAUUUUGUUUUUAUGAUUGAUUGUGUUUCAUUUGAAUUCGUAUUCAAAUUAAUUUUCAUAUGACAUGUUUUUUUUAUUGUGUUUCUUUUUCUCAAUCGAUGAUUAAAUGACUUCAACAUAACAACAAGAAGAUUAGAGCUUUGUACAACUGUCUUACCAUGAGUAGAUUGUCAAUUACCCUGGUUUGUGGACAUAGGCCUAUUAUUGAUUAAAAUAAUAUAUAAUUUAUAAUCAGUCAA